rnacentral:rRNA from 1 species
ACUGAACGCUGGCGGCAGGCCUAACACAUGCAAGUCGAGCGGUAGAGAGAAGCUUGCUUCUCUUGAGAGCGGCGGACGGGUGAGUAAUGCCUAGGAAUCUGCCUGGUAGUGGGGGAUAACGUUCGGAAACGGACGCUAAUACCGCAUACGUCCUACGGGAGAAAGCAGGGGACCUUCGGGCCUUGCGCUAUCAGAUGAGCCUAGGUCGGAUUAGCUAGUUGGUGGGGUAAUGGCUCACCAAGGCGACGAUCCGUAACUGGUCUGAGAGGAUGAUCAGUCACACUGGAACUGAGACACGGUCCAGACUCCUACGGGAGGCAGCAGUGGGGAAUAUUGGACAAUGGGCGAAAGCCUGAUCCAGCCAUGCCGCGUGUGUGAAGAAGGUCUUCGGAUUGUAAAGCACUUUAAGUUGGGAGGAAGGGCAGUAAAUUAAUACUUUGCUGUUUUGACGUUACCGACAGAAUAAGCACCGGCUAACUCUGUG